rnacentral:rRNA from 1 species
GACGAACGCUUGCGGCGUGCUUAACACAUGCAAGUCGAACGGAAAGGCCCUGCUUUUGUGGGGUGCUCGAGUGGCGAACGGGUGAGUAACACGUGAGUAACCUGCCCUUGACUUUGGGAUAACUUCAGGAAACUGGGGCUAAUACCGGAUAGGAGCUCCUGCUGCAUGGUGGGGGUUGGAAAGUUUCGGCGGUUGGGGAUGGACUCGCGGCUUAUCAGCUUGUUGGUGGGGUAGUGGCUUACCAAGGCUUUGACGGGUAGCCGGCCUGAGAGGGUGACCGGCCACAUUGGGACUGAGAUACGGCCCAGACUCCUACGGGAGGCAGCAGUGGGGAAUAUUGCACAAUGGGCGGAAGCCUGAUGCAGCAACGCCGCGUGCGGGAUGACGGCCUUCGGGUUGUAAACCGCUUUCGCCUGUGACGAAGCGUGAGUGACGGUAAUGGGUAAAGAAGCACCGGCUAACUACGUGCCAGCAGCCGCGGUGAUACGUAGGGUGCGAGCGUUGUCCGGAUUUAUUGGGCGUAAAGGGCUCGUAGGUGGUUGAUCGCGUCGGAAGUGUAAUCUUGGGGCUUAACCCUGAGCGUGCUUUCGAUACGGGUUGACUUGAGGAAGGUAGGGGAGAAUGGAAUUCCUGGUGGAGCGGUGGAAUGCGCAGAUAUCAGGAGGAACACCAGUGGCGAAGGCGGUUCUCUGGGCCUUUCCUGACGCUGAGGAGCGAAAGCGUGGGGAGCGAACAGGCUUAGAUACCCUGGUAGUCCACGCUGUAAACGGUGGGUACUAGGUGUGGGGUCCAUUCCACGGGUUCCGUGCCGUAGCUAACGCUUUAAGUACCCCGCCUGGGGAGUACGGCCGCAAGGCUAAAACUCAAAGGAAUUGACGGGGCCCCGCACAAGCGGCGGAGCAUGCGGAUUAAUUCGAUGCAACGCGUAGAACCUUACCUGGGUUUGACAUGGAUCGGGAGUGCUCAGAGAUGGGUGUGCCUCUUUUGGGGUCGGUUCACAGGUGGUGCAUGGCUGUCGUCAGCUCGUGUCGUGAGAUGCUGGGUUAAGUCCCGCAACGAGCGCAACCCUUGUUCACUGUUGCCAGCACGUUAUGGUGGGGACUCAGUGGAGACCGCCGGGGUCAACUCGGAGGAAGGUGGGGAUGACGUCAAGUCAUCAUGCCCCUUAUGUCCAGGGCUUCACGCAUGCUACAAUGGCUGGUACAGAGAGUGGCGAGCCUGUGAGGGUGAGCGAAUCUCGGAAAGCCGGUCUCAGUUCGGAUUGGGGUCUGCAACUCGACCUCAUGAAGUCGGAGUCGCUAGUAAUCGCAGAUCAGCAACGCUGCGGUGAAUACGUUCCCGGGGCU